UAGGGAAUCUUCCGCAAUGGACGAAAGUCUGACGGAGCAACGCCGCGUGAGUGAAGAAGGCUUUCGGUUCGUAAAACUCUGUUGUUAGGGAAGAAAAAAUGUAUAGUAACUAUAUACAAAAGAGACGGUACCUAACCAGAAAGCCACGGCUAACUACGUGCCAGCAGCCGCGGUAAUACGUAAGGUCCGAGCGUUGUCCGGAAUCAUUGGGCGUAAAGGGUACGUAGGCGGAUAAGCAAGUUAGAAGUGAAAUCCUAUAGCUCAACUAUAGUAAGCUUUUAAAACUGCUCAUCUUGAGGUAUGGAAGGGAAAGUGGAAUUCCUAGUGUAGCGGUGAAAUGCGCAGAUAUUAGGAGGAAUACCGGUGGCGAAGGCGACUUUCUGGCCAUAUACUGACGCUGAGGUACGAAAGCGUGGGUAGCAAACAGG
rnacentral:rRNA from 1 species